rfam:Schistosoma mansoni, Puerto Rico, WGS project CABG01000000 data, contig: 0181
AUCCAGCUGACGAGUCCCAAAAAGAACGAAACGCGCGUCACACUGGAU